UACAGAGGGUGCGAGCGUUGUUCGGAAUUAUUGGGCGUAAAGGGCGCGUAGGCGGUGCGGUAAGUCACCUGUGAAAUCUCCUGGCUCAACUGGGAGCUUGCAGGCGAAACUGCCGUGCUGGAGUGUGGGAGAGGUGCGUGGAAUUCCUGGUGUAGCGGUGAAAUGCGUAGAUAUCAGGAGGAACACCUGUGGCGAAAGCGGCGCACUGGACCACAACUGACGCUAAGGCGCGAAAGCUAGGGGAGCAAACAGG
rnacentral:rRNA from 1 species